rnacentral:rRNA from 1 species
GGAUUAGAUACCCUGGUAGUCCACGCCGUAAACGAUGUCUACUAGUUGUCUGUGGGUUUAACCCGUGGGUAACGCAGCUAACGCAUUAAGUAGACCGCCUGGGGAGUACGGCCGCAAGGUUAAAACUCAAAUGAAUUGACGGGGGCCCGCACAAGCGGUGGAGCAUGUGGUUUAAUUCGAUGCAACGCGAAGAACCUUACCUGCCCUUGACAUACUGAGAACUUACCAGAGAUGGUUUGGUGCCUUCGGGAGCUCAGAUACAGGUGCUGCAUGGCUGUCGUCAGCUCGUGCUG